rnacentral:rRNA from 1 species
CCUACGGGGGGCUGCAGUGGGGAAUAUUGGACAAUGGGGGCAACCCUGAUCCAGCCAUGCCGCGUGUGUGAAGAAGGCCCUCGGGUUGUAAAGCACUUUCAGUGAGGAAGAACGCCUGGUGGUUAAUACCCAUCAGGAAAGACAUCACUCACAGAAGAAGCACCGGCUAACUCCGUGCCAGCAGCCGCGGUAAUACGGAGGGUGCGAGCGUUAAUCGGAAUUACUGGGCGUAAAGCGCGCGUAGGUGGCUUGAUAAGCCGGUUGUGAAAGCCCCGGGCUCAACCUGGGAACGGCAUCCGGAACUGUCAAGCUAGAGUGCAGGAGAGGAAGGUAGAAUUCCCGGUGUAGCGGUGAAAUGCGUAGAGAUCGGGAGGAAUACCAGUGGCGAAGGCGGCCUUCUGAACUGACACUGACACUGAGGUGCGAAAGCGUGGGUAGCAAACAGGAUUAGAUACCCUAGUAGUC